rnacentral:rRNA from 1 species
AACGAACGCUGGCGGCGUGCCUAACACAUGCAAGUCGAACGGGGAUAGAUAGCUUGCUAUUUAUUCUAGUGGCGCACGGGUGAGUAACGCGUAGAUAAUCUGCCUUGGACUCUGGGAUAACAUUUCGAAAGGGGUGCUAAUACCGGAUAAGCCCACGGGGACGUAAGUUCUUGCGGGAAAAGGGGGCCUCUGCAUAUGCUCUUGAUCCAAGAUGAGUCUGCGUACCAUUAGCUAGUUGGUGGGGUAAUGGCCUACCAAGGCAACGAUGGGUAGCUGGUCUGAGAGGAUGACCAGCCACACUGGGACUGGAACACGGCCCAGACUCCUACGGGAGGCAGCAGUGGGGAAUAUUGCGCAAUGGGGGAAACCCUGACGCAGCGACGCCGCGUGAGCGAUGAAGGCCUUAGGGUUGUAAACCUCUUUUCAUAGGGAAGAAUA